rnacentral:rRNA from 1 species
GAUGAACGCUGGCGGCGUGCCUAAUACAUGCAAGUCGAGCGAACGGACGAGAAGUUUGCUUCUCUGAUGUUAGCGGCGGACGGGUGAGUAACAUGUGGAUAACCUACCUAUAAGACUGGGAUAACUUCGGGAAACCGGAGCUAAUACCGGAGGAUAUUUUGAACCGCAUGGGUCAAAAGUGAAAGACGGUCUUGCUGUCACUUAUAGAUGGAUCCGGGCUGCAUUAGCUAGUUGGUAAGGUAACGGCUUACCAAGGCAACGAUGCAUAGCCGACGUGAGAGGGGGGUCGGCCACACGGGAGGGUGGCCGGGGACAUGAGGACUACGGGAGGCAGCAGUCGGGUAUCUUACGCAAUGGGGGAAAAUCUGACGGAGCGGGGGCGCGUGAGAGGUGGCGGUGUUCGGAUCGUAAAGACCUGUUAUGGGGGGUGAACAUAUGUGUAAGUAACUGUGCCCAGCUUGACGGUACCUAAUCAGAAAGCAACGGCUAACUACGUG